rnacentral:rRNA from 1 species
AGAGUUUGAUCCUGGCUCAGAAUCAACGCUGGCGGCGUGCCUAACACAUGCAAGUCGAACGAGAAAGGGUAGCAAUACCUGAGUAAAGUGGCGCACGGGUGAGUAACACGUGACUAACCUACCCUAGAGUGGGGGAUAACUGAGGGAAACCUAGCUAAUACCGCAUAAUACCCACGGGUCAAGGAGCAAUUCGCUUAGGAGGGGGUGUCCGGUCAUAGUAGUGGCGGGUAUGGCCACCAGACUUGAUCGAUUCCGCCGAAAGGCCACGACCCCUGGAACGAAACCGUCAGACUCUACGGAGCAGCGUGGGAUUUGCCAUGGGCACGCUACCGCACCGCUGGGAUAGCUCCGGGAACCUCACGACAUACCAGUGACGUCGUUAAGCCGCACACUCGAGCCGGUAUCUGGGCAGGUGCCGAAUACUGGCGUAGGGUU